CUACGGCGGCUCCAGUUGGGAAUAUUGGACAAUGGGGGCAACCCUGAUCCAGCAAUGCCACGUGUGUGAAGAAGGCCUUAGGGUUGUAAAGCACUUUCAGCGGGGAGGAAGGCUCGUUAAUUAAUACUUAACGGGAUUGACGUUACCUGCAGAAGAAGCACCGGCUAACUCCGUGCCAGCAGCCGCGGUAAUACGGAGGGUGCAAGCGUUAAUCGGAAUUACUGGGCGUAAAGGACGCGUAGGCGGAUGAUUAAGUUGGAUGUGAAAUCCCAGGGCUUAACCUUGGAACUGCAUCCGAAACUGGUGAUCUAGAGUAUGGUAGAGGAAAGUGGAAUUUCAGGUGUAGCGGUGAAAUGCGUAGAUAUCUGAAGGAACACCAGUGGCGAAGGCGACUUUCUGGAUCAAUACUGACGCUGAGGCGCGAAAGCAUGGGUAGCGAACAGGAUUAGAUACCCCAGUAGUC
rnacentral:rRNA from 1 species